rnacentral:rRNA from 1 species
CCUACGGGGGGCUGCAGUGGGGAAUAUUGGACAAUGGGCGCAAGCCUGAUCCAGCAAUGCCGCGUGUGUGAAGAAGGCCUGCGGGUUGUAAAGCACUUUAAGCAGGAAAGAAGGGCGGAGCGAUAAUACCGUUUCGCAUUGACGUUACCUGCAGAAUAAGCACCGGCUAACUCCGUGCCAGCAGCCGCGGUAAUACGGAGGGUGCGAGCGUUGAUCGGAAUUACUGGGGGCGGUUCGAUCGUUCCGUGGUGAAAGCCCUGGGCUUAACCUGGGAACUGCGGUGGAUACUGUCGGGCUAGAGUGUGGUAGAGGGGAGUGGAAUUUCCGGUGUAGCAGUGAAAUGCGUAGAGAUCGGAAGGAACACCAGUGGCGAAGGCGGCUCCCUGGACCAACACUGACGCUGAGGUGCGAAAGCGUGGGGAGCAAACAGGAUUAGAUACCCGUGUAGUC